CGCCGCCGCUGCCCUGCUCCGUCCAUGCUCAUGCCCAACAGCUGAAGAAUGCUGAACCACUCACCAGAGAUAAGGGCAUGUCUAAGAAGACCGUGCCCUGGUCAAGAGACUACCCUUGCUGCUGUUCUCUGGAUUCCACAGCAGCUGGGCAGCACUGAGGGAGACCAUGAGGCACUGGGUCUUCACCUAUGAAGGGCUCCCCUGGGACCGAUCUGUUCAUGGAAGGUACUCGGAGACAGCCCUGAAUCAAGAAGAAAGAGAGGACAGUAGAAUUCCCAAAAUGCAAAAAGAAGAGGCUGGAGGGCUAGAAGAUGGCUCAGCGGUUAAGAACACUGACUGCUCUUCCAAAGGUCCUGAGUUCAAAUCCCAGCAACCACAUGGUGGCUCACAACCAUCUGUAACAAGAUCUGACACCCUCUUCUGGAGUGUCUAAAGACAGCUACAAG
rnacentral:lncRNA from 1 species